rnacentral:rRNA from 1 species
UACGAAGGGGGCUAGCGUUGCUCGGAAUCACUGGGCGUAAAGGGCGCGUAGGCGGCCGAUCAAGUCGGGGGUGAAAGCCUGUGGCUCAACCACAGAAUUGCCUUCGAUACUGUUUGGCUUGAGACCGGAAGAGGUUAGUGGAACUGCGAGUGUAGAGGUGAAAUUCGUAGAUAUUCGCAAGAACACCAGUGGCGAAGGCGGCUGACUGGUCCGGUUCUGACGCUGAGGCGCGAAAGCGUGGGGAGCGAACAGG